ensembl:snoRNA
GAUCCAGCCAAUUAAUCUACUUAUCUGGAUGUGUUUCUGUAGAAAUUCAGAAAAAGCUGGCAAUCAUGAUGCCACUUUAAUGAGCCUUAUGAACAACUGAGGUCAUUGAGGUCCCUGAAAAUGGCUAUAAUA